rnacentral:SRP_RNA from 1 species
UGUGCUAAGUGGGGAGCUAGCGGUGCCCUAUACCUGCAAUCCGCUACAGCAGGACCGAAUACUACCGUAGGCAUAAUGUAUGGAAGGCAGUCUAAGAUAAGGAGCGUUGAUCACAAGGUCUUGUGCAACGUCUCACUGUGAACCAUGUCAGAGCUUGAUCGCAGCAGCAUUAAGCAGACCGAGAUGUGUGCCACGAGGGUGCUUUGUAGUAGCCACCUGUCGGAGCAACGCUUCGGUAUGUUAUGUCAAGGGUAGUUG